AACGCACCUUGCGCUCCCUGGUAUUCCGGGGAGCACGCCUGUUCGAGUGUCGUGAAUACCUCAAGUCGGAUGCUUUAUUGCUAUCUUAGACUUGGAUUUGGACCUUGCCGCAUGCCUUCGGUGGCGACGGCUGGUCCUAAAUGCAUUAGCUGACCCAUGUUUUGUACACUUGGUUCUACUCGGCGUGAUAAGUUCAUGACCGUCGAGGACAUCCGCGCCCAUAAAGCGAGGGGUGGCCGAGAGUGCCUUGGUUCGCUUCUAAUCGUCUUCACGGACAAGAUUUUUCAACUUUGACCUCGAAUCAGGCGGGACUACCCGCUGAACUUAA
rnacentral:rRNA from 1 species